rnacentral:rRNA from 1 species
GACGAACCGUGCGAACGGUUGUUCGGAAUCACUGGGCUUAAAGGGCGCGUAGGCGGCUUGCCAAGUCAGGGGUGAAAUCCUGCAGCUUAACUGUAGAAGGGCCUUUGAUGACUGGCGAGCUCGAGGGAGGUGAGGGGUAGUGUGGAACUUCCGGUGGAGCGGUGAAAUGCGUUGAUAUCGGAAGGGAACGCCGGUGGCGAGAGCGACGUACUGGACCAUAACUGACGCUGAUGCGCGAAAGCUAGGGGAGCAAACAGG